rnacentral:tRNA from 1 species
UAAAAUGGCUGAAAUUUUAGGCGAUAAAUUGUAAAUUUAUUUAUGGAUUAUGAUCCUUUUAUCA